UUGAUACUGUAGAGCUAGGAUUAGGUUGCUGUGGGCGGAAUGUGUGGUGUAGCGGUGAAAUGCUUAGAGAUCACACAGAAUAUCGAUUGCGAAGGCAGCUCACAAAGCCUAAAUUGACGCUGAGGCACGAAAGUGUGGGGAUCGAACGGGAUUAGAUACCCUGGUAGUCCACACUGUAAACGAUGAUAAUUCGCUGUCGGCGAUAUACAGUCGGUGGCCAAGCGAAAGCGAUAAGUUAUCCACCUGGGGAGUACGACCGCAAGGUUGAAACUCAAAGGAAUUGACGGGGGCCCGCACAAGCGGAGGAACAUGUGGUUUAAUUCGAUGAUACGCGAGGAACCUUACCCGGGCUCGAACGGUGCAUGAAUGUCAGAGAGAUUUGACAGUCCUUCGGGACAUGUAUCGAGGUGCUGCAUGGUUGUCGUCAGCUCGUGCCGUGAGGUGUCGGCUUAAGUGCCAUAACGAGCGCAAC
rnacentral:rRNA from 1 species